CCUACGGGUGGCUGCAGUAGGGAAUCUUCCACAAUGGGCGAAAGCCUGAUGGAGCAACGCCGCGUGGGUGAAGAAGGCCUUCGGAUCGUAAAACCCUGUUGUUAGAGAAGAAAGUGCGUGAGAGUAACUGUUCACGGUUCGACGGUAUCUAACCAGAAAGCCACGGCUAACUACGUGCCAGCAGCAGCGGUACUACGUAGGUGGCAAGCGUUAUCCGGCUUGUGUGGGCGUAAAGGGAACGCGGGCGGUCUAUUAAGUCUGAUGGAAAAGCGUUCGGCUUAACCGGAGUAGUGCAUGGGAAACUGGGAGCCUUGAGUGUAGAAGAGGAGAGUGGAACGACGUGUGUAGCGGUGAAAUGCGUAGAUAUAUGGAAGAACACCAGUGGCGAAAGCGGCUCUCUGGUCUGUCACUGACGCUGAGGUUCGAAAGCGUGGGUAGCAAACAGGAUUAGAUACCCGUGUAGUC
rnacentral:rRNA from 1 species